rnacentral:misc_RNA from 1 species
GAAAUGCGAUAAGUAAUGUGAAUUGCAGAAUUCAGUGAAUCAUCGAAUCUUUGAACGCACCUUGCGCUCCUUGGUAUUCCUUGGAGCAUGCCUGUUUGAGUAUCAUGAAAUCUUCAAAGUAAAUCUUUUGUUAACUCAAUUGGUUUCUACUUUGGUAUUGGAGGUCUUGGCAGCUUCACACCUGCUCCUCUUUGUUCAUUAGCUGGAUCUCAGUGUUAUGCUUGGUUCCACUCGGCGUGAUAAGUUAUCUAUCGCUGAGGACACUGUAAAAGGUGGCCAAGGUAAAUGCAGAUGAACCGCUUCUAAUAGUCCAUUGACUUGGACAAUACUUUUAUGAUCUGAUCUCAAAUCAGGUAGGACUACCCGCUGAACUUAAGC